rnacentral:rRNA from 1 species
GUCGGUCAUCUGUGCUGGUGGAACACAUGUGCACGUUGAUCGCAAAUCCACACACCUGUGAACCUUUGACUCUGAGAUUCGCUUGUGCAAACUUGCAGCUGGUUGACUUUGGUYGGCCUGGAUCUUGGAGUAUUUUUACACACUCUGAAUGUAAUGGAAUGUCUAUGUGCAUAACGCGCAAAAAAACAACUUUCAACAACGGAUCUCUUGGCUCUCGCACCGAUGAAGAACGCAGCGAAAUGCGAUAAGUAAUGUGAAUUGCAGAAUUCAGUGAAUCAUCGAAUCUUUGAACGCACCUUGCACCCUUUGGUAUUCCGAAGGGUACACCCGUUUGAGUGUCAUUGUAAUCUCACUCCUUCAACUUUGUUGUUGUUGGAUGUGGACUUGGACUCUGUCGUGUCACAACGACUGGUCUUAAAUGAAUGAGUGCACCCUGCUGUUGCAGCGUCUUCAGUGUGAUAAGCAUCUUCACUGGAACAAAGUUCCCUUUUGGGACACGCAGGCAUUGUAGGCUCUGUGCUGGCAAACCGUCYUUUUUGGACAAAUCUUUGACAAUUUGACCUCAAAUCGGGUGGGACUACCCGCUGAACUUAAGCAUAUCAAUAAGCGGAGGAAAAGAAACUAACAAGGAUUCCCCUAGUAACGGCGAGUGAAGAGGGAAAAGCUCAAAUUUUGAAUCUGGUGUCUUUGGCGCCCGAGUUGUAAUCUAGAGAAGUGUUUUCUGCCUCGGACCACACAUAAAUUCCCUGGAAUGGGGUGUCAUAGAGGGUGAGAAUCCCGUUUGUGGUGUGGACUACCUUGGCUCUGUGAUACACUCUCAACGAGUCGAGUUGUUUGGGAAUGCAGCUCAAAAUGGGUGGUAAAUUCCAUCUAAAGCUAAAUAUUGGCGAGAGACCGAUAGCGAACAAGUACCGUGAGGGAAAGAUGAAAAGCACUUUGGAAAGAGAGUGAAACAGUACGUGAAAUUGUUGAAAGGGAAGCGUUUGAAGUCAGUCGCAUUGGUCGGAACUCAGCCUGGCUUCUGCCUGGUGUAUUUUCUGGCAAAUGGGUCAGUGUCAAUUUUGAUCGAGAGAGAAAGACUUGAGGAAUGUGGCUGUCUUCGGGCAGUGUUAUAGCCUCUUGUUGUAUGUCUCGGUUGGGAUUGAGGAACGCAGCACGCCUUUUGGCCGGGGUUCGCGCCCUCGGUACGUGCUUAGGACACUGGCAUAAUGGCUUUAAGCGACC